rnacentral:rRNA from 1 species
UACGAAGGGGGCUAGCGUUGUUCGGAAUUACUGGGCGUAAAGCGCGCGUAGGCGGUUUUGCAAGCCAGAGGUGAAAUGUCUGAGCUCAACUCAGGAAUGGCCUUUGGGACUGCGAGGCUUUGAGGACUGGAGAGGUGAGUGGAAUUCCCAGUGUAGAGGUGAAAUUCGUAGAUAUUGGGAAGAACACCGGUGGCGAAGGCGGCUCACUGGCCAGUUUCUGACGCUGUAGCGCGAAAGCGUGGGGAUCAAACAGG